AUUGAACGCUGGCGGCAUGCUUUACACAUGCAAGUCGAACGGUAACAGGCCGCAAGGUGCUGACGAGUGGCGAACGGGUGAGUAAUGCAUCGGAACGUGCCCAGUCGUGGGGGAUAACUGCUCGAAAGAGCAGCCAAUACCGCAUACGAACUAUGGAUGAAAGCGGGGGCCCGUAAGGCCUCGCGCGAUUGGAGCGGCCGAUGUCAGAUUAGGUAGGUGGUGGGGUAAAGGCUCACCAAGCCAACGAUCUGUAGCUGGUCUGAGAGGACGACCAGCCACACUGGGACUGAGACACGGCCCAGACUCAUACGGGAGGCAGCAGUGGGGAAUUUUGGACAACGGGGGCAACCCUGAUCCAGCAAUGCCGCGUGCAGGAAGAAGGCCUUCGGGUUGUAAACUGCUUUUGUACGGAACGAAACGGUCUGGGUUAAUACCCUGGGCUAAUGACGGUACCGUAAGAAUAAGCACUGGCUAACUACGUGCCAGCCGCCGCAGUAACAC
rnacentral:rRNA from 1 species